UACAGAGGUGGCAAGCGUUGUUCGGAAUUACUGGGCGUAAAGGGCGCGUAGGCGGCCGCCUAAGUCAGACGUGAAAUCCCCAGGCUUAACCUGGGAACUGCGUCUGAUACUGGGUGGCUUGAGUUCGGGAGAGGAAUGUGGAAUUCCAGGUGUAGCGGUGAAAUGCGUAGAUAUCUGGAGGAACACCGGUGGCGAAGGCGGCAUUCUGGACCGAAACUGACGCUGAGGCGCGAAAGCGUGGGGAGCAAACAGG
rnacentral:rRNA from 1 species